CCCUGCCAUUUGUACACACCGCCCGUCGCUACUACCGAUUGGAAGUUUUAGUGAGGCAUUUGGACCUGCUAUCCAUAAGUUGGGGCAACUCAGCUAGGGAAUUGGCGGGGAAGUCUGUCGAACUCAAAUUUCUA
rnacentral:rRNA from 1 species